rnacentral:rRNA from 1 species
UACGUAGGGGGCAAGCGUUGUCCGGAUUUAUUGGGCGUAAAGAGCGUGUAGGCGGCCAUUCAGGUCAGCUGUGAAAACUCGAGGCUCAACCUCGAGACGUCGGUUGAAACCGUUUGGCUAGAGUCCGGAAGAGGAGAGUGGAAUUCCCGGUGUAGCGGUGAAAUGCGCAGAUAUCGGGAAGAACACCCGUGGCGAAGGCGGCUCUCUGGGACGGUACUGACGCGUGAGACGCGAAAGCGUGGGGAGCGAACGAGG